ACUAAAUAAAAAUCACAGAGUGGACUUUACUGUUUUCACUAAAUAAAAACAUUUUCACCGUGUCCUCUCUGUCUGGUCCCAGUAUGUCCAAAAUGACUCCCCCUCAAGUAAGUCCUUGGCGGGCCUGGUGGUCCAGCUGCUGCAGUUCCAGGAGGACGCGUUUGGACGCAGAAUCAACAAUCCUGCUCUCACCAAGCUGCCCGCCAAGUGUUUCCUGGAUUUCAAGGCAGGGGGCGCUCUCUGUCACAUCUUGGGGUCGGUCUACAAGUUUAAGAGCGAGCAGGGCUGGCGGCGAUUCGACCUGCAGAACCCGUCCCGCAUGGACAGGAACGUGGAAAUGUUCCUUAAUGUGGAGAAGAACCUGGUCCAGGUACGACACAAACUCAACACACACACA